CGACAAGUCGAGGAAGUGGGGAUGACGUCAAAUCAUCAUGCCCUUAUGACCUGGGGCUACACACGUGCUACAAUGGGCGGUACAAAGGGCUGCGAACCCGCAGGGGGAGCGAAUCCCAAAAAGCCGCUCUCAGUUCGGAUUGCAGGCUGCAACUCGCCUGCAUGAGGCCGGAAUCGCUAGUAAUCGCGGAUCAGCAUGCCGCGGUGAAUACGUUCCCGGGCCUU
rnacentral:rRNA from 1 species